CUUAUGACUGCUCUCACUAGUCCUAAUGUCAGAGUCAUAGUUGAUGGGUAUUCCUCUAAGAAGACUGCUGUGUGCUUCCAAUGUCAACGAUGUCUUGACAGACUUUCUACACACCGGGGUAUAUGAUCUUCGCCAGAGGCCUUUGAGGGUGACCAUGUCCCCCGCCAUUGAUAUCUUCAAAUCUAGAAAGAGCUCUCCUGAAUGCAAGGUUACCAUACAGCAAGGAUGGCAACGUCACAUCACAUUGUUCCAGAGGCGACGGAUGACAACAGUUAC